ACGCUGGCGGCGUGCCUAAUACAUGCAAGUAGAACGCUGAAGCUUGGUGCUUGCACCGAGCGGAUGAGUUGCGAACGGGUGAGUAACGCGUAGGUAACCUGCCUCUUAGCGGGGGAUAACUAUUGGAAACGAUAGCUAAUACCGCAUAAAAGUCGAUAUCGCAUGAUAUUGAUUUGAAAGGUGCAAAUGCAUCACUAAGAGAUGGACCUGCGUUGUAUUAGCUAGUUGGUGAGGUAACGGCUCACCAAGGCGACGAUACAUAGCCGACCUGAGAGGGUGAUCGGCCACACUGGGACUGAGACACGGCCCAGACUCCUACGGGAGGCAGCAGUAGGGAAUCUUCGGCAAUGGGGGCAACCCUGACCGAGCAACGCCGCGUGAGUGAAGAAGGUUUUCGGAUCGUAAAGCUCUGUUGUAAGAGAAGAACGAGUGUGAGAGUGGAAAGUUCACACUGUGACGGUAACUUACCAGAAAGGGACGGCUAACUACGUGCCAGCAGCCGCGGUAAUACGUAGGUCCCGAGCGUUAUCCGGAUUUAUUGGGCGUAAAGCGAGCGCAGGCGGUUAGAUAAGUCUGAAGUUAAAGGCUGUGGCUUAACCAUAGUACGCUUUGGAAACUGUUUAACUUGAGUGCAGAAGGGGAGAGUGGAAUUCCAUGUGUAGCGGUGAAAUGCGUAGAUAUAUGGAGGAACACCGGUGGCGAAAGCGGCUCUCUGGUCUGUAACUGACGCUGAGGCUCGAAAGCGUGGGGAGCAAACAGGAUUAGAUACCCUGGUAGUCCACGCCGUAAACGAUGAGUGCUAGGUGUUGGGUCCUUUCCGGGACUCAGUGCCGCAGCUAACGCAUUAAGCACUCCGCCUGGGGAGUACGACCGCAAGGUUGAAACUCAAAGGAAUUGACGGGGGCCCGCA
rnacentral:rRNA from 1 species